GUCAGCCUUGGCCACCCAGUCGUCACCCAGUCAUCACCCAGUCGUCACCCAGUCAUCACCCAGGCGUCACCCAGUCGUCUAGACAUCGGAAUAUGGUCCUUGUCAAAGUCACUCAGAUCCCUACACUCGCUAAUGUUUCCUGUUCCCAACACAUCAACUUUAAAAACUGAACUAACCUGAGAGUCGUGGGAGCAUGUGAGAUGGAGAGAAGGGGUGGGGCUUCCAGGUGUUUUCUUUAUCCAGACUAAUUCUUUCUCUCUGGUGUCUUUACAGGAAAAAGCACAACGAGAAAAAUGACUGCCAGUUUAGAAGAAAUUAAUGAGUGUGCUACGGUUUUGAAUGACAUAUCAAGAGAAUGUUCGCGCAUGACCUUUUUAUGGUAUUUUUAUGGUUCCAACCCGACCAUCAGAGCUUUAUUUAAAGACAUUACCAUCUGCAGCAUUAAUGAGAUGAUCACAGCCACUGCAUCAUGUUAAACAUAUAGAGGGCGUGUCCUUAAUAUCAACCAAUCCGAGCAAAGAUCAUGUUCAGUCUGUUUUCCUUUAAAAUAUACACUUACUGAUCAUACGGGGUUUAUUAAUCAGCCUGUUAAACAUUUAAUCCUGAACUUGUUAAUAUCUUCAUUGUGUUUGUUUUGGUCACUUCAGCUUUAACUUUUUGUCUUUUAUUUUCUGUAACCUUAUAAGUAAGGACUUGUCCUCAGUGUACUUCCUGGGAUUUAAAUAAAUAAAUAAAUAAAAUC